AUUCCCCUUGAUGAGGUUUGUCAACAGCACGUUGACUGAAGACUUCUGUGUGACGUCAGACACAACCUCAUUGUUGUGGAAAUCCAGUGAAAGUCUGCUUUCAUCCAGGCCGUCAAAGAUGAACAAAAGUUUACAGACAGCGAGCUGCUCUGCUGUGACCUUCUGUAAUGUUGGAUGGAAAACAUGGAGCAGUGUGAGAAGACUGUACUGCUCAUCUUUGAUCAGGUUCAGCUCCCUGAA